rnacentral:rRNA from 1 species
ACACGACUACAUUAGAUACCCCGGUAGUCCCAGCCGUAAACUAUGCUCGCUAGGUGUCAGGGACGGUGCGACCGUUUCUGGUGCCGCAGGGAAGCCGUGAAACGUGCCGCCUGGGAAGUACGGUCGCAAGGCUGAAACUUAAAGGAAUUGGCGGGGGAGCACAACAACGGGUGGAGCCUGCGGUUUAAUUGGACUCAACGCCGGACAACUCACCGGGGACGACAGCAAUAUGUAGGCCAGGCUGAAGACCUUGCCUGAAUCGCUG